rnacentral:rRNA from 1 species
UACGGAGGGGGCAAGCGUUGUUCGGAAUUACUGGGCGUAAAGGGCGCGCAGGCGGCUGCUCAAGUCAGGCGUGAAAGGCCUGGGCUCAACCCGGGAAUUGCGCUUGAGACUGGGCUGGCUUGAGUGCGGGAGAGGAUGGUGGAAUUCCCAGUGUAGAGGUGAAAUUCGUAGAUAUUGGGAAGAACACCAGUGGCGAAGGCGGCUCACUGGCCCGAUACUGACGCUGAGGCACGAAAGCGUGGGGAGCAAACAGG